AGAGUUGAUCCUGGCUUAGGAUGAACGCUAGCGACAGGCUUAACACAUGCAAGUCGAGGGGCAGCAUAGAAGUAGCAAUACGUUGGUGGCGACCGGCGCACGGGUGAGUAACGCGUAUGCAACCUACCUAUCAGAGGGGAAUAACCCGGCGAAAGUCGGACUAAUACCGCAUAAAACAGGGGCACCGCAUGGUGAUAUUUGUUAAAGAAAUUCGCUGAUAGAUGGGCAUGCGUUCCAUUAGGUAGUUGGUGAGGUAACGGCUCACCAAGCCGACGAUGGAUAGGGGAACUGAGAGGUUGGUCCCCCACACUGGUACUGAGACACGGACCAGACUCCUACGGGAGGCAGCAGUGAGGAAUAUUGGUCAAUGGGCGGGAGCCUGAACCAGCCAAGUCGCGUGAAGGAAGAAGGAUCUAUGGUUCGUAAACUUCUUUUGCAGGGGAAUAAAGUGCAGGACGUGUCCUGUUUUGUAUGUACCCUGAGAAUAAGGAUCGGCUAACUCCGUGCCAGCCGCCGC
rnacentral:rRNA from 1 species